GACAGAGGGUGCAAACGUUGUUCGGAUUUACUGGGCGUAAAGCGUGUGUAGGCGGCUUUGUAUGUCGGAUGUGAAAGCCCACGGCUCAACCGUGGAAGUGCAUCCGAAACUGCAUAGCUUGAGUCCCGGAGAGGAAGGUGGAAUGCUUGGUGUAGAGGUGGAAUGCGUAGAGAUCCGGAAGAACACCGGUGGCGAAGGCGGCCUGCUGGGCAGUAGCUGACACUGAGGCGCGACAGCGUGGGGAGCAAACAGG
rnacentral:rRNA from 1 species